GCGCCGCUGAGACCUCCCUGAGGCCUAUCAGCGGCCUCUUUUUCCUCCCUUUCUCUGCUUCUCCAGCGCCACGUCGAGUUCUCAGCCCUGCCUCAGGUUCAUAUCAAUACAGUUGCAAGACUUUAGUAGACUAUGAGUUGAGCGUCAUUUCAUUCCUGGGAAUUAAGAAAUGGCGAGGCCAAGACAUCAUUGCCAAGCUCACAAUGUAGAAACUGGAGCCCGAAUAAAGUCUCCUGCCUAGUCCAGAGAUGGAAAAAUGCACUCAAGUUACUUAUUGCAGUUUAACAAAUUGCCACCAAAACUUAGUGGUUCAAACAUAAAUAAAACCGUUUGCUCAUGAUUUUGCAAUGUGGACAGGACUCAGGGGACAGCUAGUCUCUUUGUAAUGUUGGGUGGGGCUGCUCAA